UAAAAAUGCUUUAGGACUCAUGGCCGCC
rnacentral:piRNA from 1 species